GAUGAAGGAACGUAGCGAAAUGCGAUAAGUAAUGUGAAUUGCAGAAUUCAGUGAAUCAUCGAAUCUUUGAACGCACAUUGCGCCCUCUGGUAUUCCGGGGGGCAUGCCUGUUCGAGCGUCAUUAUAACCACUCAAGCUCUCGCUUGGUAUUGGGGUUCGCGGUUUCGCGGCCCCUAAAAUCAGUGGCGGUGCCUGUCGGCUCUACGCGUAGUAAUACUCCUCGCGAUUGAGUCCGGUAGGUCUACUUGCCAGCAACCCCUAAUUUUUUUAAGGUUGACCUCGGAUCAGGUAGGGAUACCCGCUGAACUUAAGCAUAUCAAUAAGCGGAGGA
rnacentral:misc_RNA from 1 species